rnacentral:lncRNA from 1 species
AUGGAUUGCUGUUUAAUUAGCUGUUUGAGCUGCAGUUCAGCCAGCUCUGCCCACUUAACGUUCUUGUUGAACAAAGUGUUAGUGCAGACUUCAAGGGCCACAAACCUCCCUGGGAAGGCAGUUUUCCUAAGGGGACUGGUACACAAAAUGGCCUCAAUUGCAGGUGCAGCGCGUUGGAUGGAGUUAGUGGGAGCAGAUCAUCAACCAGAUGAGGAAGGGCCCUCGUUAAGGAGAUGGGGUCUGGGCUGUGGACCUCAAUGGGAGGAAGAGUGGCGAUGGGGGAAUCACAGGUCCCACAGCGUGGGAGGACGGGCACACAGCAGAAUCCAUCCCCAGCGCUGCCAGCAGAUAAUGGCCAUUCGAUAUAGCCCACUUCUUCUGCGCCAUAAAGCUGAUGGGCUGAAUCAAGCCAUGGUGUUGCAGUGUCAGCGAGAGUGCUGCAUUUUGAUUACAUCAACGAAGAGAGGAUCUCGGCCCUGCCAGCUGAGCACCAUCCCGAAGGAGGAGGAAGGAGAGAAGGCUCCGAGGACUCUGGCAUUCUCUGCAGGGAGAUGUUAUUAGUGUGAGACCUGACAUUAAGACAAUCUAUUGACUCAUCCGAAGCAACAGAGCCUUGCAGGAGCAGCGAGAGGAAACCAAACAAAUAUGUUUGCAGAAAGUUGUCUGUUCAUCUGUUCAUCUGAGCGUAAAGAGACAACUCUCAAUGUUAGUUAGGAGUUACAAGGACUGUUUGCUCUUUGGACUGUUCCAUGGAAAAGCCAUUAUUUCCCAGAUUUACUCAUCCAGAUCCUCCUCCACUGCUCUGUAUAGAGCCUGCCUCGGCCCUAGCAGCUGAGGAGAACACACCCAGGACCCAUGCUGAACCUUUCAUGCUCUGGGCAUGACCACAACUGGGGGUUUUCUUUGCACAAAAGUGUGCGGUAGACCUCUUCCAUCCGAAAACCCAGCUUACAGCCUCUCGUCACACUGUCAUGGCUGAAGCCCACCCAAGAGCCCAUGGUGAGAGCCACCAGGCUCGUUUGUUUGAGAAGAUGCUGCAGGCUGCCGACCAGUCUGAUUUCGUGCAAAAAGGCAAGGGUUUGCUUAAUCAGCCAUACCUUGUGGGGGAUGAGUGGCGUGUCUGGGACUUAGCAUUUCAUCCAGCUGCCAAGACCAAUUAUUUUUGAUGUUUCUUGACACAUUGAAGCUGGUUCUCCUGAUUUAUUUUGUUUACUUGCUGGAGUGCUGUGUUGUGUUGUGUUUUGUUUUCCUAAAAGGAUGUCUUCCUUUUUCUGACUCUCAUGCCAAAGAUGGCCAAGAAGUAAAGCAGAUAUAAAAAUGGAAUGAAAAAAAAAGUCUUUUCAAGAACACCACAAAAUUUGUCAGCCUCCCAGGACUAGACAGACAAAGACAUGAUAACUUGGGCUAGUAGCAAACAUGUCAUUCAUGGAGCACAGCAAGAUUUGCUUCAGGAGCGGACCACCUUUCACAACAAAGCUGGAAGGCUUUGGGAGAGUACCUUGCUUUCCUCGAAUCUGUGGACAUCAAAAUUCAUUGAAAAUUAGGGAAAUGGCAAAAAUUCCAAUGGUUUGGCAAGCUUUGAAUGGUUUGAUAUUUCAGCUGAUACUCUCAUUUUAGCAGACUUGGGGCUUGUCAGAAGGAGAAUUCAGCUCUUAUUUCUCCAAGAAGGACAUUUGGUUUGGUCGCCCUGGGAGCCCUUCCAGCUCAACAUUUAAAGUGGGAUUUGAAGACAGGAACCUAUAUCCAGAAAAAUGCAGAAAACUCCAAAUCAUUUUUGGACCUGAAAUGAGCAGUCACAGUAGCUACAAGAUACCAUCUGCAUCUAUUUUAGAAGUGAUUUUCCUGUUCUUUCUAUUAUAAGAGCUGGUUGAAGGUAUCUCACAUUUUUGUAAAUUUCAUCAAGGAUCUGAAAUUCCAAAUUUUUAUAAUAAAAAUAGCAACUCAAUU